GACGAACGCUGGCGGCGUGCCUAAUACAUGCAAGUAGAACGCUGAAGGAGGAGCUUGCUUCUCUGGAUGAGUUGCGAACGGGUGAGUAACGCGUAGGUAACCUGCCUGGUAGCGGGGGAUAACUAUUGGAAACGAUAGCUAAUACCGCAUAAGAGUAGAUGUUGCAUGACAUUUGCUUAAAAGGUGCAAUUGCAUCACUACCAGAUGGACCUGCGUUGUAUUAGCUAGUUGGUGGGGUAACGGCUCACCAAGGCGACGAUACAUAGCCGACCUGGGAGGGUGAUCGGCCACACUGGGACUGGGACACGGCCCAGACUCCUACGGGAGGCAGCAGUAGGGAAUCUUCGGCAAUGGACGGAAGUCUGACCGAGCAACGCCGCGUGAGUGAAGAAGGUUUUCGGAUCGUAAAGCUCUGUUGUAAGAGAAGAACGAGUGUGAGAGUGGAAAGUUCACACUGUGACGGUAUCUUACCAGAAAGGGACGGCUAACUACGUG
rnacentral:rRNA from 1 species